AUAAACCCGCGCUAGGGAUUGCAGUGGCAGCUUUUGACGAGGCGAGCAUCGAGCCAAAACUAUUAACGGAAAGCCCGACCCGAA
rnacentral:misc_RNA from 1 species